rnacentral:lncRNA from 1 species
UCGAACCUUCUGGUUCAGGUCGCAGGAAGGGAAAACCCCCUAUAUGGGGGUCAAUUUCUCAAAUUGAAGAAGAAUUAACGAGAUUGGAGCUUGAUUCUAUCAUCCUUCUCGAUUUCUAUGGAUAAUGGUGAGAUAACGUUUGGAUGUCAACGGGUCAAACGGGUGAUAAAGCAACAACACUCCUACGGGCGAAGGGAUAUACAUGAGAUAUGGAUAAAAGGCUCCCGGAUUAGAAAGGAGAAAAUUACGGAAUGCAUGACUUGAGAUAAUGAAGUGGAGGCUCGACGUUGUUUUGUUGGGCGUCAUGAGCAUUAAAAAAAACCUCCUUUAUGUUUGAUACAAAAAAAAUAUAAUAUUACGAGUCCUCACUUAGCAAAAGCUAAUUUUUUGUAUCUUCAAUGUAGGUGAUAUGUUUGAAAACAAUGAACGGAUAGACAAGUUAUGAGAAACAACGGGGUGGCUUGAACCGGUAACAUGCAAGAAGAAAAGAACUCAAAAGUCGUUCACCAAUAAUCCGAUUCGGGUGGUAGAAAGGCGAAAGUGCUCAAGUCUUGGAAGCGGGUCAACUAUGGAAAGAUUUAGUGAUGAUUUAUUCACUAAGUAUAUGGGUUCUUAUCGGGUCAACUUGACCUAGUUAUUUACAUUUUGGAGUUUAACUUCAGUGUUUGUUUUAGCUAAGCGCUAGUAUGUC